UACAGAGGGGGCAAGCGUUUAUUCGGAAUUAUUGGGCGUAAAGGGCGCGUAGGCGGCCUGGCAAGUGGAAGGUGAAAUCCCUCGGCUUAACCGAGGAACUGCCCUCCAAACUGCUUGGCUUGAGUCCGGGAGAGGUGAGUGGAAUUCCCAGUGUAGCGGUGAAAUGCGUAGAUAUUGGGAGGAACACCAGUGGCGAAGGCGGCUCACUGGACCGGAACUGACGCUGAGGCGCGAAAGCGUGGGGGAGCAAACGGGG
rnacentral:rRNA from 1 species